rnacentral:rRNA from 1 species
UGAGGAAUAUUGGUCAAUGGGCGAGAGCCUGAACCAGCCAAGUAGCGUGAAGGAUGACUGCCCUAUGGGUUGUAAACUUCUUUUAUAAAGGAAUAAAGUCGGGUAUGGAUACCCGUUUGCAUGUACUUUAUGAAUAAGGAUCGGCUAACCUCCGUGCC